rfam:Brachypodium distachyon strain Bd21 chromosome 1, whole genome shotgun sequence.
AAAAUAUUUCUCCGUCCAACAAAAGAUGUUUCAACUUUGACUAAAUUUGAAUGCAUCUAUUAACUAAGUUAUGUCUAGAUACAUUCAAAUUUUGACAAAUUUGAGAUAUUUUUUGUUGGACGGAAGAAGUACAUA